AACGAACGCUGGCGGCAGGCCUAACACAUGCAAGUCGAACGCCGUAGCAAUACGGAGUGGCAGACGGGUGAGUAACACGUGGGAACCUUCCCUAUGGUACGGAAUAGCCCAGGGAAACUUGGAGUAAUACCGUAUAAGCCCGAAAGGGGAAAGAUUUAUCGCCAUUGGAUGGGCCCGCGUAGGAUUAGCUAGUUGGUGAGGUAAUGGCUCACCAAGGCGACGAUCCUUAGCUGGUCUGAGAGGACGAUCAGCCACACUGGGACUGAGACACGGCCCAGACUCCUACGGGAGGCAGCAGUGGGGAAUAUUGGACAAUGGGCGCAAGCCUGAUCCAGCCAUGCCGCGUGAGUGACGAAGGCCUUAGGGUUGUAAAGCUCUUUUGGCGGGGACGAUAAUGACGGUACCCGCAGAAUAAGCCCCGGCUAACUUCGUGCCAGCCGCCGCCGUAACAC
rnacentral:rRNA from 1 species